CAGCCCUGAAAUGUUACUGCGUAACAUUAGGUGCUGGAAUUGUAUUUACUGUUUUAAUUUAAUGCCUUCAUAGUGUUGUGGUAAUUGCCCAAGGACUCAUUGGUGGAAGAUAUAGCUGAGGUGCUCAGCUGUGAUCAGAUUAAGCUUUAAUUGAAUUCAAUGGAAGAAAUGAGGCAGCUGUUAAGAAGACAAUUCAUUGCUCAUCUUCUUUCCCUGAACCACUCUUACAUCCCAGCUGAAGUGCUGUUGGAUAGCUUUGCAGGUGUACUGUUGUUGUAAUCUUGAUUUAUUUUUUUUUGUCCUCAUCCACUUCUCCCACCAGAUAUUGUAACAAAGGAAGAGCUCUUAAGGAGGCAAAGGACGGAGACGAUCAUCUUCAGCAGAGAGAAGAAUCUGAGCACAUAUGAGUGCAUUGUACCUGCCAAUAUCGAGGCUGUCACUGCCAAGAAUAAGCAUUGUCUCCUGGAAGCCGGAAUAAGCUGCACAAAGGAUUUAAUCAAAGCCAAGAUAUAUCCCAUUGUUCUUUUUAUCAGAGUCUCGGAGAAGAACAUCAAGAGGUUCAGGAAGUUAUUGCCAAAGCCAGAAGCUGAAGAUGAGUUUUUACGUAUGUGCCGUCUGAAGGAGAAGGAACUGGAAGAGCUGCCGUGUCUUUAUGCCUCUGUAGAGGCAGAUACAUGGAGCAGUAUUGAAGACCUUAUCAGAACAAUAAAGGACAAGAUUGGAGAAGAGCAGCGUAAAACCAUCUGGAUAGAUGAAGAUCAGCUCUAAAACCAGUGUGUGAAAUGGGGCUCUUUGGUGACAAAAGGAUGUUCCCAGGUGGAGCAGGGGCCCGCAGAGUUCUCUGACUGGUGCCCGGUGCUCACUCCUGUCUCACCCCUGCUGACUGGGGACUUGCUGCUGGCAGAGCCCAUGUAUGGAAUGGAUCUGGAGCUGUGCUGGAUAGCCCGUGCUUCAGGUGCCAGGGAUCUAGGACGUGAAUCAGACCACCACAGCUUCUAACACACCAGCAUCUCUUAAUGGACAGCAGCUGUUUAACGAGUGGGAAGGACAAAGAUCUUGAGAGGGAUCUUGGGGUAAUUUAUUAUGUUGAAAAUAUGGAUCACAGUUGGCUUUUUACGCACUUCUGAUGAGACCAGAUAAUUGGAAUCUAGGAGAAAUAAAGUGUGAGGAUUGGGCUAAAGGAAAUGGAAUUGAGGUGUGUCUUACAUCCAUCUGGAGGUGAGAUUCCAAAUUCAAUCCAGUAGGGAAACUGAAGGCUGUUUGGAAGCAAUAGGAACACUACUGCUGACAGUCAUAGCAGUUCUACAGCCCUGUUUUUCCAUGACCAUUUUAAUCAGAAAGGAGGAAAAUAACUAUUAUUCCUGGCUUUAGUUAAAAUGUAAAGGUAUCACUGGUGCCUUCUCCAGACAAGUUUCUCUGUUUCUGUUUCUCCACUGAAAUCUGUAUUUCUCUACAACUUCAUUGCCAACCAAUGUAUCUGCACUCAACAGGAGGGACUGCUGUGCAGAGAGGAAAAGGAGAGCUUCAUAAGGCAGUAAUCACUGGGAGCCGCUCCAUCCUUGACCUCUCUGCUGUGAUUGACAGCACUGGGACCAGCGAGUGCUGCUCUGUGCUGUGGCCAAGCAGGGUAACAUUUUCAGAAGCCUGUAUGUGACUCAGAAGACCACAUCCCAUUUUCAAAAGCACUCAACCCCUCAGAGAGUUAAAGUUCCACUGAUAAUGAGUGGGACUGAGACUCCUAAGUCUCUUAGGGCUUUUAAUAUUUUUCCUCUAUACAUUAGAUACUGUAUUGAGACUGCCAAAUUGAUUCAAUAAAACCGAUCAGAUAAUUGCGACUUGCACAACUGCUGAUCUGAAAGGCAGUAAGAACUGACCUGCAGAAGAGGAGGAAUGCAUCCCAUUAUCCUUGGGUCUUUCUUUCCCUGCUGUAUCUCUCCAUUUUAAGAUACGUUUAGUAACUAAUUUAUCUUUGCUUCUGUGUUCAUCCCACAUCCUCUGUCUCAGUGCUUCAGAAGGACAUGCAGCAGCUUGUGCAAUAACAGGGCAAGCAGAAUCCAAGCAGAACAUCUGGCCUGGCUGCCCUCACUGCACUGACUGCUGCACUGUCCUUGUGAGGAGCUCCUGAUGCUCAGGGUGUCCCUCAAGUAGACUGGGUCAGUU